CCCUGCCCUCCCCCAUCUUGACCCCGUGGCCCCUCCCCAUCCCCCGCGCCCCCCUCUCCGCAUCUCCGUCACCCCCCACACCACAUUCUCCCCACACGGCUCCAAACUUCCUCCCAAGGAACUCAGGCCUGCGGGUUUCCGAGAAACCGUAAAUAUAACCCCAAAGUGUGGCUGGCUCCCAACGAAGGGACGGGCCAGCAGCCGAGGAAGGACAAGGGUCUCCCCCGGCGCGCACAGGAGCGGGUCCUCAGAUCAUCUGAGCCGCGCUCCCCACGGCGGGCGGGCGGGCAGGCCGGGUGGCGGUGCCAGCCCAGCCCCAAGUCAGCUCUCACGUCGGAGUCCAGGAGCCCAGGCGGACCCCCGGAUGACCGACGCCUGUCACGGCGGCAGAGCUGGCUCCACCCCGCUCCAUCCUUCCCUCCUCACAGACGACUGCGGACCACGCGCCUGACCUCCCCCGCACCCCUCACCCACCUGGGGCGGCAGCCGGUCGGUGGCGGCGACGAUCUGCCACAGGAGCGCAUAAUUCCAGCUGCUCAGGUCGUGUGCACUGGCCAGAAACGCACACGAGGAUUUACAGCUCAGCCCCACCAGGAGCUCCGCCGUUCCCCAGGUGAGCCGCGAACACUGGUCAGUAGGUCUCAGAGCUGAGGGAUCACCUCCCGGCUGACUGAGGGGCCACCAAGCCCAGGUGGCCCAGCUGGGCUCCCUCAGGAUGAUGUCCAGCACCCGCCUGGUGAGGCCUUCCCCACUCCUGGGGACGCAGCUCAGAGCCCCCGAUGGGCAGGAUGGGCUCCCAGGUGGCCCAGAGCCACCAGGCACACCCACAGGACACCCGCACAAAGGUCUGAGUCCUCCCCACCUCACCUGGGACACGGGGACAUUCGUCUGAGUAAGGCAGCAGGCACAUGGCUUGGGGGUCAUUCCCAAGGGAACGAACCCAAGGGGUUGUUCCCCCGAGGGAACAGGCGCGCUGCCCCCCUCACCUGUAGAAGGCAGCCAGUCUCCGCAGCGUGGAGCAGAUCCGCCCCAUCUCACCGUGUCCAAGGAACAGGCCCUGCUUCUACACAGUGGGGAGAGAGCAGAGGGGGUGGUGGCGGGACACGCAGGUUCCAGGGGGGCUUCCCCAGGGCACCGGACCAGCUUCGAGCCAGGCCCGUGUUCCUGCCUGCUCUGUCCCCAACUUUCCGGUGGGCAGCUCUUUGAGAUCUCCAAAGGGAAACAGUGCCCCGGGCCAUUCUGAGUCCAGCUCUGCAGGAAACGAAGGGGACCAGAGGACACCCCCAAAGACGCGUAGGCUGCAGAACAAGGACGUCGGGAUCUGCGACCUCCCACCUCCACACACUUGCCUCACAUCCCUGCCAAGAACCUGCCACAGGGAAUACGCUUCUCCCUUGACAGCGGAGAGAACAGACACAGGUGCGUCGCUGACCUGCGGCACCCCACAAUCGCGGCAGGCCCAGGUUCAAGAGCAACCUGGAGUCCUGCCUGUGGAAACAAGCAGAGCGUCACAAGCAAGGUGCCUCAGUCAGGGCCGGACGCCAGGCCCACAGGCCACACGGCCCUCAGCCCGUCUGUGUCAAUAAAGUUUUACUGGAACGUG